rnacentral:rRNA from 1 species
CUACGGGUCGCACCAGUGAGGAAUAUUGCACAAUGGAGGAAACUCUGAUGCAGCAACGCCUCGUGGAGGAUGACGCAUUUCGGUGUGUAAACUCCUUUUAUAUGUCAAGAAAAUGACGGUAGCAUAUGAAUAAGCACCGGCUAACUCCGUGCCAGCAGCCGCGGUAAUACGGAGGGUGCAAGCGUUACUCGGAAUCACUGGGCGUAAAGGACGCGUAGGCGGGAUAUCAAGUCAGGUGUGAAAUCCUACAGCUUAACUGUAGAACUGCACUUGAAACUGGUAACCUAGAGUAUGGGAGGGGGAGAUGGAAUUAGUGGUGUAGGGGUAAAAUCCGUAGAUAUCACUAGGAAUACCUAAAGCGAAGGCGAUCUCCUGGAACAUAACUGACGCUAAGGCGUGAAAGCGUGGGGAGCAAACAGGAUUAGAUACCCUAGUAGUC